UGGGGAAUUUUGGACAAUGGGCGCAAGCCUGAUCCAGCAAUGCCGCGUGCAGGAUGAAGGCCUUCGGGUUGUAAACUGCUUUUGGACGGAGCGAAAAGGCUUCCACUAAUACUGGGGGCUCAUGACGGUACCGUAAGAAUAAGCCCCGGCCAACUCCGUGCCAGCAGCCGCGGUAAUACGUAGGGUGCAAGCGUUAAUCGGAAUUACUGGGCGUAAAGCGUGCGCAGGCGGUUAUGUAAGACAGAUGUGAAAUCCCCGGGCUUAACCUGGGAACUGCAUUUGUGACUGCAUAGCUAGAGUACGGUAGAGGGGGAUGGAAUUCCGCGUGUAGCAGUGAAAUGCGUAGAUAUGCGGAGGAACACCGAUGGCGAAGGCAAUCCCCUGGACCUGUACUGACGCUCAUGCACGAAAGCGUGGGGAGCAAA
rnacentral:rRNA from 1 species